GCUCCGGUGGUGUAGUCCGGUCAAGCAUCAGGGGCUCUCGCCCCCUAGACUCGGGUUCAAAUCCCGACCGGAGCACCA
rnacentral:tRNA from 1 species